rnacentral:rRNA from 1 species
UACGUAGGGUGCGAGCGUUGUCCGGAAUUAUUGGGCGUAAAGGGCUCGUAGGCGGUUUGUCGCGUCGGGAGUGAAAACUCAGGGCUUAACCCUGAGCCUGCUUCCGAUACGGGCAGACUAGAGGUAUGCAGGGGAGAACGGAAUUCCUGGUGUAGCGGUGAAAUGCGCAGAUAUCAGGAGGAACACCAGUGGCGAAGGCGGUUCUCUGGGCAUUCCCUGACGCUGAGGAGCGAAAGUGUGGGGAGCGAACAGG